rnacentral:rRNA from 2 species
AGAGUUUGAUCCUGGCUCAGGACGAACGCUGGCGGCGUGCCUAAUACAUGCAAGUCGAGCGGAUCUUCAUUAGCUUGCUUUUGAAGAUCAGCGGCGGACGGGUGAGUAACACGUGGGCAACCUGCCUGUAAGACUGGGAUAACUUCGGGAAACCGGAGCUAAUACCGGAUAAUCCUUUCCCUCACAUGAGGGAAAGCUGAAAGACGGUUUCGGCUGUCACUUACAGAUGGGCCCGCGGCGCAUUAGCUAGUUGGUGAGGUAAUGGCUCACCAAGGCGACGAUGCGUAGCCGACCUGAGAGGGUGAUCGGCCACACUGGGACUGAGACACGGCCCAGACUCCUACGGGAGGCAGCAGUAGGGAAUCUUCCGCAAUGGACGAAAGUCUGACGGAGCAACGCCGCGUGAACGAUGAAGGCUUUCGGGUCGUAAAGUUCUGUUGUCAGGGAAGAACAAGUACCGGAGUAACUGCCGGUACCUUGACGGUACCUGACCAGAAAGCCACGGCUAACUACGUGCCAGCAGCCGCGGUAAUACGUAGGUGGCAAGCGUUGUCCGGAAUUAUUGGGCGUAAAGCGCGCGCAGGCGGUUCCUUAAGUCUGAUGUGAAAGCCCCCGGCUCAACCGGGGAGGGUCAUUGGAAACUGGGGAACUUGAGUGCAGAAAAAG